rnacentral:tRNA from 1 species
GAAUGGCGUAGUGGUUAGUGACCCUGACUAAUACUGAGCCGAAGGUCCCGGGUUCGAUUCCCGGCUGGAGCA